UGUGGUGUGGUCCAAUCAGCCACGCCACAUCAGGCCUUUUUUUUAAAAAAAAAAAAUCUGAAAACCAGCGUGCAGUAUACCUAUAAUUUUUCACCAAAAUUUCAAAAUUCCUUAUCCCUCAAAUCCCUUCCCUCUUGUCUCCAUCUUUUCCCUCCCCCAUAGGCAAACAGAAGCACCGCCGCAAGCCAUCCACUGGCUCCCACGAGCUCGUCCCUCUCCCACCGUUGUCGAGUCAUCCCCGAGCAAUCCAUGAGCUCCUCCCUCUCCCACUGUGGUCCUCCCUCCCUCUCCUCCCUUCAACACACUCUUGCUUCCUACCGAAAACCCGAGGCACCACCACUGACGAGUCUAGCCACCAAAAGAAGUCGUCUCCCUCUCUCGCUCCCCUCCGUCAGACCGUUUCUCUCUCUUUCUCCAACCGAGCAAUGAGCACUAGUAGCCAGUUGAUAAUGCUACAAACAAUGAUGUGAUGAUCAAUUUUUUGAAAAUGAGGUUGAAGGCCAAGCCUUAUUCUAUUUUGGAAUGUGAAUUUCUUCACGUGCAGUGUGCCGCUCAUAUUUUAAAUCUUGUUGUAACUGAAGGGUUGAAAGGAUUCGGUACUUCUAUUUCUAUUAUAAAGAAUAUAGUGAAAUUUGUGAGGUCCUUACCAGCGAGGAUGACAAAGUUUAAAUCAUGUAUAGAGCUAGAAAAGAUUACAUAUACGAAGAUGGUAUGUCUAGAUGUUCAAACAAGAUGGAAUUAUGUGUACUUAAUGUUGAGCUCCGCUGAGAAAUAUGAAGCUUUUGCCCUACUUGAGGAGGAUGAGAGUGAUCAUUUUGUUGCUCCUAGUUCUAUUGAGUGGGAAAAUGCUAAGCUAUUUGUGAGGUUUUUGAAAUUUUUUUAUGAUGCCACAUUGAAGUUCUCUAGUUUAAAAAAUGUCACCUCUAACUCAUAUUUCAUUCAACUUAGUAUUAUUCAAAAUACUUUGAAUGAUGGUAUUUGUAAUGAUAAUCAUAUCCUUAGUUUUGUGAGUUUUUAUAUGAAAACAACGUAUGAUAAGUAUUGAGAGACAGUGGAGAAGAUUAACUUAUUGUUGUAUGUGGCUUUUGUUCUUGACCCACAUUUCAAGAUGAAGGGGUUGGUAUUUUGGUUGAGAAGAUACAAUGAUGUUGAUUGGGCGAAAUAUAUCAAGGAUAGUGUGGACUCCCUCUUGAACCGUUUGUAGGAUCAAUUCAAUUUGUUUCAUGGGGAGGAUGGGUUAUCUAACACUGAUGUAGGUAUAAAAAGUUCAACUGCUACUUUUGAAAUGUUGAUGAUGAAGACUUGGAGGAUCAAGAUGUGAAAUUUUUGAAGGUGUUCUCCUAACACCAAGAAGAGAAUGACUUGAAGUGUAAAUCGGAGGUGGAUCGAUAUUUGUCUGAUCGGUGUGAAGCAACAACCCAAGAUUUUAAUAUCUUACUUUGGCGGAAGGUUAAUAAUGCACCCAAAUAUCCUAUUCUUGCAGAGGUAGCCCGUGAUGUAUUAGCCAUUCAUAUUUCUACUGUUGCAUCUGAGUUUGCCUUUAGCAAUGGAGGACGUAUAUUAGAUUCAUUUAGGAGUUCAUUAUCCCCAUUUACAGUUGAGACCUUGAUUUGCAAAUAAGAUUGGUUAAAGAGCUGCCCAAAUAACAUUGAGGAGAUGCCGAAGUUUAUGGGAAUGAAAAGUUAUGAUGAACAUGGUAACUAAAUGAUUAUAAAUUCAUUACUUUUAAUUAUUUACUAUGUUUUCACUGUUUGACAUUUUAUAUUUUAUGAUAUUAAAAUGCCAUGAUUUUAAUAUUAAUCAUUCUUAACUUUAUUUGUUGU